GUUUAUUGGUUGUGCAUCCAGUUCACUAUCGAGUGAACUCGAUUAGUUCACUAUCGAGUGAACUCGAUUCGCACGAGGCCUGCUGCGGCUAGCCCGCCAAACUCAGGCCAAGCGUUUGCUCAUGGCCAGUCAAAAUGUGAAGUUGGCCCAGUCUUGUUUCAAACGUCAACGCGUGUGCACGUGUUAUUCCAUCCAAACAUCCUUUUCUCAAAACUUGUUUACAAAUAGGUGUGUAAUUACGUAGCCAAGCGGAUAACCGUAAAAGUUUGAUAAAUCACAUGAAAGAUGGAGAGCUGGUUGGACGACAUCAAACGCGUGAGAAUCCCACGACCGAAAUUCGGGAACAAGUAUCCAGUGGAGCCUCCCAAGGAUUACUUAGAGAACAGUGACCUCAGCGGCAAAACGAGGCGACACGAUAACAAAGACUUUGUUAAAGCGACUGAGGAGUUACGUCGGACAUUACAAGAAAAACUAUGACCGCCAUUAACAGAUAUGUUUGUAGCUUCAAAUUUCCUCAUCUUAAUCGAAAAUGAAUUUAACAAAAACUCCUUGCCUUUAUCAAAUUAAAUCGGUACAAAGAUCUAUGCCUGCACGGAUGAGUUCCACCGUCCUGGGUUCUUCUGUCAUGAAACAAUCAUGCAUACUGAUUUGAGGAAUAAGAUAGCCGUUAGAAGGAGAACCGUUAUUCUAAUGUAGUUGAGGCUUUGACCUUAUAUUUCAAAGGGGAAGCCGUUAUCGUGGGUGAGGGGGGAUGGGUGAUCUGUACAAAUGAAAGUCCAGUUUGAAAUUAUUUAUUAAUGAAGUUAUUAAAAUGAACGAGCUCAAUUUCUAUGAUCGGUUAAUAAUGAUUUGAGUGUUUCAAAUUUCUGUUGAUGCACGAGGUAUAUUAAUAACUACUUUAGUUUUUUAUUUAUUUGGACAGUGUACAAACUAUUCUAUAAUAUAUUUGUAUAUGUUUUCAAAUACUAAUCAACGUGAAUUCUUUAUUAGCUUACUAUAGUGAAAACAUUCAUGAUUUACAAAAACUCAAUAAUUGAUCACUGAAUGGAGUAUUCAGCUCUUGGCAAGUUUCCAUCUAAGCCGUUAUGGUAAUCAUAUAUGUAGUGCAUUUAAUUUUAUUGGGAUGAAGGUAACAAUCUCUCCAUCAACAAAAAAAGGCUUGCCGCACUCGCGUUUCUCUGAUUUAAGUUAAGUUUAUCUUAAAUUAAUCAAUAAAAUGUAAUGUUAUUCUUUUGUUAGAUUUCCAUUAAUUUAGUUGUAGUAGGAAUAAACUGGUAUCAGUACCCAUUAGUGCGCUGUAAGCUUAGGUUUUUGCGAUGAUUAAAUACACUUUUACGGCUUAACUAGAAAUAAUAGACUGUAGGAAAUUGUAAACCGAACGUAAUCAAAGUGAAAUUAAACCAUAAAACUGUUGUUGAUUAUAACUCCAAUUGAAAGUUCUGUCAAUAAUUGGGAAUUGAAAAGUAACGAGCCCAUACCCAUGGCAAAGAUCCGUCGUUGCUUCACUUUACGAAUAUCUCUUUGAGAGUAUUCAUUUGACCUAGAUAAUUUCAAAUAUCAUAAAGAUAUUCUUACUUGACCCACUUCAUAACAAGUUUGAUUGGAAAGUUUCCUUAUUUUUAUAUAAGUCGAAGUAAAUGCCAAAACAUGUAUGGAACGGCUAUCACUGUCAUGAAUUUUUAUUGUUAUUUUAAACUGAAGUUUUACAUGCAGUAUUAAGUUUACUAAAAAACAAACGAUUUGUUAUCAACUCAUUGUACUGUUUUUGUAGUAUGUCAAUUAUUAACAUAGAAAAAUGUUUGACUAUGAAGAUUUGAACAAAUACUGAGGUUGAUACUAGUAUGGCAAUAUACAGCGAAUGAUACAUGUAGAAUCUUCUAGAAUUCAUUAUAAUAUUGCAGAAAUAUGUCAAAACCAAAAAUAUUGCAUGAAUUUUUUUCAAAACCUAAAGUUCCAUCCUGUCCAUUAAAAUAUUAAUAUAUACCUAUAUUUAAGGAUCUGUAUAAAUUGCACAAAUCUCCAUACGCCUCUAACUUUUCAAACCCGUUUGACUAAUUGUAUGUAGUCUUAUUUUUGUAACAGGAAACUAUAAAUCAAUUGUUUUGACUACAGAUUGUUACUAAUUAAAAUACUUUUCAUUUAGUUAAUAGAGCUUAAUUAAGUAUAAAACAUAAGAUUAAAAUUUAGACUGAUGUUAUGAGAUUUAUAAUGGUCCGUUGAAUCUCGUUUGAUUUUAAUUUAGCAUUUAAUAAAGUGUAUUGUGUUAUUA